rnacentral:lncRNA from 1 species
AAAAAAUCAAAAUUUUCGGUGACACAGGGGACAUGGACAUCAGGACAUGUCUGCAAUUUGACAAAUAAAUUACUCUAGAUUCUAAAUUUGCAGAAGGUGAAACGAGAUAAAUGGAAUAACUUACGAUGGCUGGUGGAGACUGGUCACUGGAGAGCCGCCGUUGUUGUUGUCUGAAAUCUGGAUCUCACGGUGGCCGGGGAAAAAGAUGGUUGUUCCGGUUCUGUGAUGCUAUGUGCUGGAACUUGGACGGCUGAGAGAAGGAGAGCAAGGAUUUAGUGACUUGGGGAUUUCGAUUUGUUCCGGUUCUGUAUUGUGUGAA